GCCGGAUAUCUGUGGGAAACUCAGUUGGUAGAGCAUGAGACUCUUAAUUUUAGUGUUGUGGGUUUGAGCCCCACAUUGGGCA